rnacentral:rRNA from 1 species
AUUGAACGCUGGCGGGAGGGGGUACACAGGCAAGUCGAACGGUAACAGGCCGCAAGGUGCUGACGAGUGGCGAACGGGUGAGUAAUGCAUCGGAACGUGCCCAGUCGUGGGGGAUAACUACUCGAAAGAGUAGCUAAUACCGCAUACGAUCUAUGGAUGAAAGCGGGGGACCGUAAGGCCUCGCGCGAUUGGAGCGGCCGAUGUCAGAUUAGGUAGUUGGUGGGGUAAAGGCUCACCAAGCCAACGAUCUGUAGCUGGUCUGAGAGGACGACCAGCCACACUGGGACUGAGACACGGCCCAGACUCCUACGGGAGGCAGCAGUGGGGAAUUUUGGACAAUGGGCGCAAGCCUGAUCCAGCAAUGCCGCGUGCAGGAAGAAGGCCUUCGGGUUGUAAACUGCUUUUGUACGGAACGAAACGGCUCUGGUUAAUACCCGGGGCUAAUGACGGUACCGUAAGAAUAAGCACCGGCUAACUACGUG